rnacentral:rRNA from 1 species
UACGGAGGGUGCAAGCGUUAUCCGGAUUUACUGGGUUAAAGGGUGCGCAGGCGGAUAUGUAAGUCAGUGGUGAAAUCUCCGGGCUUAACCCGGAAAUUGCCGUUGAUACUAUAUAUCUUGAAUGUUGUGGAGGUAAGCAGAAUAUGUCAUGUAGCGGUGAAAUGCUUAGAGAUGACAUAGAAUACCUAUUGCGAAGGCAGCUUACUACGCAGAUAUUGACGCUCAUGCACGAAAGCGUGGGGAUCAAACAGG